rnacentral:rRNA from 1 species
GACGUAGGGCGCGAGCGUUGUCCGGAUUUAUUGGGCGUAAAGAGCUCGUAGGCGGCUUGUUGCGUCGGCUGUGAAAACCCGCGGCUUAACCGCGGGCUUGCAGCCGAUACGGGCGGGCUGGAGUUCGGUAGGGGAGACUGGAAUUCCUAGUGUAGCGGUGAAAUGCGCAGAUAUCAGGAGGAACACCGGUGGCGAAGGCGGCUCACUGGUCCGGUACUGACGCUGAGGUGCGAAAGCGUGGGGAGCAAACAGG